AUUUUACCAAAAGUAGGAUCGGCAACGAAUACGAUGGUCCUAUCAUCAACAUCCCAGAAAUCUCUGAUUGCCAGCCCUGUGGAAAGAUGUACAUAACAAAAAUUAAGGCUUAAGAAGAAUAAUUUAGCUACAGUUCAAAAGGAGGUAGAUGAGGAGAGGAGUUCCUGGAGUGUCAGGAUAAUUUUGAGCUAAAACUCUCAACUUGAAUCCAGUGUCCUUUUCAAUUUCAGAAAUCUCUUGAGCAAGUCUUUUUUCCUAGAAAGCCAAAUAUGGAACCAGUAAAUCAUCACGCUUCCACCCGUCAACACAUUUUCUCAAAAUCGAAAUAAUGCCUCAACUGUGGCAUCAACGAUCAAUGUAACACUAGUCAUUACAGCAAAUAGAACAUCUUUUGCCUCUCUAUCCAAGGGAAACCACAAGUGAGGAUCCUGUAAACCUUUAGGCACAGGUAGUAGUUGACAGAAGCCGAUUGAAAAUCAUUCAAACCCAUGUGGCAUUAGUCAAAUGUGGCCACUUCCUGCACUGCAAUUAGACCUUUCUAUAACCCCAAAAUCUGUUUGUCGAGUGAAGAAUACCGUCCCCAUUGCACCAAUUCCAGAGACAGACCUUCAAUUAUGUUAAUAAUUUAAGUAAAUGAAGAGAUGGAACAAGUGUUCCAAUGAUUAUGACUUAAAAUUCUCAUCCUUAUGCCAGUAAAUCAAUUAACAUGGAGAUCUAUGAACUUCUGAAGUUGAACAUGUAUUGCAGUUACAUAGAUAGAUCUAAUAGCCCCACUGCGUGAAUAAACAAGGAAUGAAACAGAGAUAUAUCUCAAGGAUAAUUAAACAAUCCAACUGAAAGAAAUUGUAAUGUUGAACCAACAACUUGUAACCCCAGACUUGCUCAGUGGGGCAAACAAUCA
rnacentral:lncRNA from 1 species